rnacentral:rRNA from 6 species
GUUUCCGUAGGUGACCUGCGGAAGGAUCAUUGUCAA